rnacentral:sRNA from 1 species
GUUCCUUCGGGCUGCGGGACUGGGUGACCCCAGCGGCCCCGCGCCUGGCCACCCGUGUCUACCUUACCUUCUGUUGCUUCGGCGGGCCCGUCCCUACCCGGGACCGCCGGGGGAGCGUACUCACGCGCCCCUGGCCCGCGCCCGCCGAGGGACCCCUGGAACUCUUGUGAAGCAGUGCCGUCUGAGUUAACCACAAAAUUUAAACAAAACUUUCAACAACGGAUCUCUUGGUUCCGGCAUCGAUGAAGAACGCAGCGAAAUGCGAUAAGUAAUGUGAAUUGCAGAAUUCCGUGAAUCAUCGAAUCUUUGAACGCACAUUGCGCCCUCUGGUAUUCCGGGGGGCAUGCCUGUCCGAGCGUCAUUGCGAACCCUCAAGCCCGGCUUGCGUGAUGGGCGCCGUCCCCCUGCGGACGGGCCCCAAAGGCAGCGGCGGCGUCGCGGUUAUCCGAUCGGCCAGAGCGUAUGGGGACUCUCCGUCACACGCUCGCGGCGCGGACCGACGCCCGCCUAUUCUUGAUGACAAUCAUCUCUCAAGUUUGACCUCGGAUCAGGUAGGGAUACCCGCUGAACUUAAGCAUAUCAAUAAGCGGAGGA